AUGGGUUGUAGCUGGCCUUUCCGAGGCAUUGUGCACGCCCUGCUCAUCCACUCUACACCUGUGCACUCACUGUGGGUUUCGGUGCGCCGCGCGGGUUUUUCGCCCGCGAGGUUAACCGGGCCUACGUCUUUUAUUUAUAAACGCUUCAGUAUCAGAAUGUGUGUUGCGAUGUAAUUGCAUCUAUAUACAACUUUCAGCAACGGAUCUCUUGGCUCUCGCAUCGAUGAAGAACGCAGCGAAAUGCGAUAAGUAAUGUGAAUUGCAGAAUUCAGUGAAUCAUCGAAUCUUUGAACGCACCUUGCGCUCCUUGGUAUUCCGAGGAGCAUGCCUGUUUGAGUGUCAUGAAAUUCUCAACCUAUGAAUCUUUUGCGAUUUACAGGCUUGGACUUGGAGGCUUUGCCGGCCCCUUGCGGUCAGCUCCUCUCAAAUGCAUUAGCUCGAUUCCUUGCGGAUCGGCUCUCGGUGUGAUAGUCAUCUACGCCGCGAACCGUGAAGUGUUUUGGCGGGCUUCUAAUGGGUCUCUCAUCGUGUGAGACACUUCAUCGACAUCUGACCUCAAAUCAGGUAGGACUACCCGCUGAACUUAAGCAUAUCAAUAAGCGGAGGAAAAGAAACUAACAAGGAUUCCCCUAGUAACUGCGAGUGAAGCGGGAAAAGCUCAAAUUUAAAAUCUGGCGGUCCUUGGCCGUCCGAGUUGUAGUCUGGAGAAGUGCUUUCCGCGCUGGGACCGUGUAUAAGUCUCUUGGAACAGAGCGUCAUAGAGGGUGAGAAUCCCGUCUUUGACACGGACUACCAGUGCUUUGUGAUGCGCUCUCGAAGAGUCGAGUUGUUUGGGAAUGCAGCUCAAAACGGGUGGUAAAU
rnacentral:rRNA from 1 species